rnacentral:rRNA from 1 species
UACGUAGGGUGCGAGCGUUAAUCGGAAUUACUGGGCGUAAAGCGUGCGCAGGCGGUUGGUUAAGUCUGAUGUGAAAGCCCCGGGCUUAACCUGGGAAUGGCAUUUGGGACUGCAAGGCUUGAGUGCGGCAGAGGAGACUGGAAUUCCUGGUGUAGCAGUGAAAUGCGUAGAUAUCAGGAGGAAUACCGAUGGCGAAGGCAGGUCUCUGGGCUGACACUGACGCUCAUGCACGAAAGCGUGGGGAGCAAACAGG